GCUGGCUACUGAACACUUCAGCGUUGGGAAGUAACAAGUCCUGGAGUCUACUGCUUGAGAGAGAGGAAGCUUUCGUUCAAGCAGGGCAAACAGUCUUCACAUUCACAAGGAUGCCGGCAGGUACAAGGGCUGAACUUGGUGGCAGUGGUAAAGGACUUAGAGAUCUUCUGGGGCAAGCAAGAGCUAAAGAAAGAAGAGCCAAUUAAACUGAAAGAAGGAUGAAAUAAAAACCAGAAAUCAACAAAACAGAAGA